ACUUAACAAUCAAUUAUUUGAAAAGGGUAAGUUUUAAUUGUAAAAACAAGCCGUCUUAGAACGGAAGUUUGAUCAGUUAUGUAGCCCUAAACUUUAUUAUUUAUGAAGUUU
rnacentral:sRNA from 19 species